rnacentral:rRNA from 1 species
AUUGAACGCUGGCGGAAUGCUUUACACACGCAAGUCGAACGGCAGCACGGACUUCGGUCUGGUGGCGAGUGGCGAACGGGUGAGUAAUGUAUCGGAACGUGCCCAGUCGUGGGGGAUAACGUAGUGAAAAUUACGCUAAUACCGCAUACGAUCUAUGGAUGAAAGCGGGGGAUCGCAAGACCUCGCGCGAUUGGAGCGGCCGAUAUCAGAUUAGGUAGUUGGUGGGGUAAAGGCCCACCAAGCCAACGAUCUGUAGCUGGUCUGAGAGGACGACCAGCCAAACUGGAAGUGAGACACGGUCCAGACUCCUACGGGAGGCAGCAGUGGGGAAUUUUGGACAGUGGGCGAAAGCCUGAUCCAGCCAUUCCGCGUGCAGGAUGAAGGCCCUCGGGUUGUAAACUGCUUUUGUACAGAACGAAAAGGUUUCUACUAAUACUAGGAGCUCAUGACGGUACUGUAAGAAUAAGCACCGGCUAACUACGUGCCAGCCGCCGCCGUAA